rnacentral:rRNA from 1 species
UACGUAGGGUGCAAGCGUUGUCCGGAAUUAUUGGGCGUAAAGAGCUCGUAGGCGGUCUGUCGCGUCGGUCGUGAAAACUUGGGGCUUAACCCUGAGCUUGCGGUCGAUACGGGCAUGACUGGAGUUCGGCAGGGGAGACUGGAAUUCCUGGUGUAGCGGUGAAAUGCGCAGAUAUCAGGAGGAACACCGGUGGCGAAGGCGGGUCUCUGGGCCGAUACUGACGCUGAGGAGCGAAAGCGUGGGGAGCGAACAGG